CAGCAAACAGACCUGGACUCCAUAUUUAUGCUGCUGGAGGAGAACAUCGUCACUUUUAUAAAGAACGAGCUGAAGAAGAUUCAGAAGGUUUUAUGUCCAGAUUACCCAGAAUGCUUAGAGAGUCAGAGGGAGGAUGAGAAGGUUUGGAGGGUGAGGAUGAAGAGCAGAGAGGAGCAGCAAUGAAGCAUUUCUGAAGAUCACACGCACUUCCUGAGGAGAAUGAAGCAGGAGAGCUGGCUGACCGUCCUGCAAGCAGAAGUCAUUCUGGAGUUUGUCAGCGUAAACUCAAGACUAACCAGAAGAAAAGUUCCAGUGUGUGUUUGAGGGAUUGCUAAAGCAGGAAACCCAACCGUUCUGUAUCAGAUGUUCACAGAGAUCUCAUCAUGGAGGGAGGGGCUGCAGGGUCAAUGA